GAUGAACGCUGGCGGCGUGCCUAACACAUGCAAGUCGAACGAAACACCUUACCUGAUUCUUCGGCUGAAAGUUUGGUGACUGAGUGGCGGACGGGUGAGUAACGCGUGGGUAACCUGCCCUGUACAGGGGGAGAACAGCUGGAAACGGCUGCUAAUACCGCCUAAUCGCACGGCGAGACAUCUCCUUGUUUGUAAAACUCCGAGAGGACAGGAUGGGCCCGCGUCUGAUUAGCUGGUUGGCAGGGUAACGGCCUACCAAGGCAACGAUCAGUAGCCGGUCUGAGAGGAUGAACGGCCACACUGGAACUGAGACACGGUCCAGACUCCUACGGGAGGCAGCAGUGGGGAAUAUUGCACAAUGGGGGAAAGCCUGAUGCAGCAACGCCGCGUGAGUGAAGAAGUAUUUCGGUAUGUAAAGCUCUAUCAGCAGGGAAGAUAAUGACGGUACCGGAAGAAGAAGCUCCGGCUAACUACGUG
rnacentral:rRNA from 1 species